rnacentral:rRNA from 1 species
UUAAAUGAGUUGACGGGGCCCGCACAAGCGGUGGAGCAUGUGGUUAAUUCGAUGCAACGCGAAGAACCUUACCUGGGCUUGACAUCCCGGGAAUCCCCUGGAAACAGGGGAGUGCCUUUGGGAACCCGGAGACAGGUGCUGCAUGGCUGUCGUCAGCUCGUGUCGUGAGAUGUUGGGUUAAGUCCCGCAACGAGCGCAACCCUUGUCUCUAGUUGCCAGCAAGUAGCGUUGGGCACUCUAGCCAGACUGCCGGUGAUAAAUCGGAGGAAGGUGGGGACGACGUCAAAUCAUCAUGCCCUUUAUGUCCUGGGCUACACACGUACUACAAUGGCCGUUACAACGGGAAGCGAAGGAGCAAUCCGGAGCAAAUCCCUUAAAGGCGGUCCCAGUUCAGAUUGUGGGCUGAAACUCGCCCACAUGAAGGCGGAAUUGCUAGUAAUUGCAGAUCAGCAUGCUGCAGUGAAUACGUUCCCGGGCCUU